AAACCAGCACCUCAAGUGGUCAGGAUGAUUAUUGGGCCUAAAGCAUCCGUAGCCGGCUCUGUAAGUUUUCGGUUAAAUCUGUACGCUUAACGUACAGGCUGCCGGAAAUACUGCAGAGCUAGGGAGUGGGAGAGGUAGACGGUACUCGGGAGGAAGUGGUAAAAUGCUUUGAUCUCUCGAUGACCACCUGUGGCGAAGGCGGUCUACCAGAACACGUCCGACGGUGAGGGAUGAAAGCUGGGGGAGCAAACCGGAUUAGAAACCCCGGUAGUCC
rnacentral:rRNA from 1 species